AGCAGCCGCGGUAAUUCCAGCUCCAAUAGCGUAUAUUAAAGUUGUUGCAGUUAAAAAGCUCGUAGUUGAACUUCGGGAUCAAUGGAUCGGUCAUGCCUUGGUAUGUACUGAUCAUAUUGGUUCUCACCUUCUAACGAACCAUAAUGUCAUUAAGUUGGUGUUUUGGGGAAUUAGGACUGUUACCUUGAAAAAAUUAGAGUGUUUAAAGCAGGCUCACGCUUGAAUACAUUAGCAUGGAAUAAUGAAAUAGGACAUCGCAUUCUAUUUUGUUGGUUUCUAGGAUCGAUGUAAUGAUUAAUAGGGAUAGUUGGGGGCAUUAGUAUUCAAUUGUCAGAGGUGAAAUUCUUGGAUUUAUUGAAGACUAACUACUGCGAAAGCAUUUGCCAAGGAUGUUUUCAUUAAUCAAGAACGAAAGUUAGGGGAUCGAAGACGAUCGAGACGUACGUCGUACGUUACCUAACUAAACUAAUUAGUACCGACCGUAACGGUAAGGUACGGAGGUAGUAGUAGUUUAAGUUUU
rnacentral:rRNA from 1 species